GGUUGUAUAGUGUAGCGGUCAUCACAUCGGAUUCUGAAUGAAGAUUCCGGGAACCCCGGUUCGAUUCCGGGUACGACCU
rnacentral:tRNA from 1 species